GUAGGGGCUCAGUGUGGUGUGUAUGAGUGUGUGUGUGUGUGUGUGUGAACGAGCAUGAGUGUGUGAGUGUGGAACCAGAGAGAGCAGGGAGGCAAAGACGACAAAGAGAAGUUUCACAUUUUGAAACAUAGCAGAGAAUCAAAAAGCAAGCAAAGGGCUUUCCAACUCAGCCAGCAUUUACUUAAUGCCUGAUGCUCUGAGCACCAUGCUGAACACACUGAAAUGUCCUAAAAUUCAUGCAUGAAAUUUUUACACCCUUAGGCAUCAGGAGAGCUUGUAGGGAUUUCCAUGAAGUUUACUGAUUGUUUUGACAACUGUAACAAGCAUCUAAUUCCCACUCAUUGGAUUAGAAGCAGGAUGUUAGGGGUGUGAUGGAGGUUAUUUGUGGACAUAUGACAGCAGCAGGAAGUGAUAUCCUCAGAAGGAACACAUAAGCCGUAUAUAACAUGAAAAAAUAUGAAUAUUUGUAUUCAAGCCAUUGCUUUCCCUCAGCCAACUGAAGGAAACUGUGUGUGUGUGUGUGUGUGUGUGUGUGUGUGUUUCUGGGGCUGUUGUUGUAGAGAAGAGGGAUAGCAAGUAAAGGAGUAAAAAGAAUAGAUCAGGGUAAGGAAAACGGAGAUAAAUACUAACCAGGCUGUAUUUGAAAGGAGUUGGUAGGAUUAUAAGAGGUGGUAGGGAGGACAAAACUUCAGAAAGUUUGCCUGGGGUUGUGAAUGUAUUUCCCCUUCACCAUUUGAAAAUCUUUAAUUUUGACAUAAUCAUAGAUCGACAGGAAGUUGCAAGAUGAUAGUGAGAGGUCCCAUGCCCCCUCUCCUUUAGGUAUUUUGCUUGUUUUCAUUUGUUUGAGGGGCAAUUCUAAAGGGCUUAAUUGUUCAGAUAUUAGGUUGGUGUUUUCUCUGUGAUAUCCUGCCGUGACAUUCCAUACAACCCAUCCCUGUGUGUUUAUAUGUGAUUCACCAACCAUUUCCAUGUUGUCAAAUCCAGUGUUGGUCAUUUUUUUCAACCUCCAGGUAGUAUGUGAUAGUUAAUCACUGAUCUCUCUUCAAAUGCAUUCUCCUUUUGCUUCCUGUGACACCACAUUCUCUCGAUUUUCUUCCUGGUUCUUCCUUACCCUUCUCUUCGCCUGCUCUUGACCUCAGUAAGUGGAGUGUUUUGUGGCCCGGUGUUGGGCU
rnacentral:lncRNA from 1 species